rnacentral:rRNA from 1 species
UACAGAGGUCCCAAGCGUUGUUCGGAUUCAUUGGGCGUAAAGGGUGCGUAGGCGGCGCGGUAAGUCGGGUGUGAAAUCUCGGGCUUAACUCCGAAACUGCAUUCGAUACUGCCGUGCUUGAGGACUGGAGAGGAGACUGGAAUUUACGGUGUAGCGGUGAAAUGCGUAGAUAUCGUAAGGAAGACCAGUGGCGAAGGCGGUCUCUGGACAGUUCCUGACGCUGAGGCACGAAGGCCAGGGAGCAAACGGG